rnacentral:rRNA from 1 species
GACGAACGCUGGCGGCGUGCUUAACACAUGCAAGUCGAACGGAGUGGCGAACGGGUGAGUAACACGUGUGUGACCUGCCCUGCACUUCGGGAUAAGCCUGGGGAACUGGGUCUAAUAACGGAUAGUGUGGGAUGGGCGCGCGGCCUAUCGGCUUGUUGGUGGGGUAAUGGCCUACCAAGGCGGCGACGGGUAGACGGCCUGGGAGGGGGGACGGCCACAAGGGGACUGAGGCAGGGCCCAGUCGCCUACGGUAGGCAGCAGGCGGGAAUAUUGCGCAGUGGGGGGACGCCUGAGGCAGCGGCGCCGGGUGGGGAAUGACGGCCUUCGGGUUGUAAACUCCUUUCACCAUCGACGCGGUAGAUGGAGAAGAAGCACCGGCUAACUACGUGCCAGCAGCCGCGGUAAUUC